UACGAAGGGGGCUAGCGUUGCUCGGAAUCACUGGGCGUAAAGCGCACGUAGGCGGAUUGUUAAGUCAGGGGUGAAAUCCUGGAGCUCAACUCCAGAACUGCCUUUGAUACUGGCGAUCUCGAGUCCGGGAGAGGUGAGUGGAACUGCGAGUGUAGAGGUGAAAUUCGUAGAUAUUCGCAAGAACACCAGUGGCGAAGGCGGCUCACUGGCCCGGUACUGACGCUGAGGUGCGAAAGCGUGGGAAGCAAACAGG
rnacentral:rRNA from 1 species